rnacentral:rRNA from 1 species
CAGGGAAUCUUGCGCAAUGGGCGAAAGCCUGACGCAGCGACGCCGCGUGGGGGAAGAAGGCCUUAGGGUUGUAAACCCCUUUUCCGGGGGAAGAGCAAGGACGGUACCCUGGGAAUAAGCCUCGGCUAACUACGUGCCAGCAGCCGCGGUAAUACGUAGGAGGCAAGCGUUGUCCGGAUUUAUUGGGCGUAAAGGGCGUGUAGGCGGCUUGGGCAGUCCUUUGUGAAAUCUCCCGGCUCAACCGGGAGCGGUCGAGGGAUACUUCCAGGCUAGAGGGCAGUAGAGGAGAGCGGAAUUCCCGGUGUAGUGGUGAAAUGCGUAGAUAUCGGGAGGAACACCCGUGGCGAAAGCGGCUCUCUGGACUGUACCUGACGCUGAGGCGCGAAAGCGUGGGUAGCAAACCGG